rnacentral:rRNA from 1 species
CCAGCCCUUAAUCCACCCCAUGCCGGGUGGAGGAAAGAAGGUUUUAAGAAUAAAAAAUCUCUUUCGGUGGGGAAAGAUAAUGACUGUCCCCAAUAAAGAAGUCCCGGGUUAAUUCCGUCCCAGCAGUCGGGGUAAUACGGAGGGGACUAGCGUUGUUCGGAAUUACUGGGCGUAAAGCGUGCGUAGGCGGAUCAGCAAGUUGGGGGUGAAAUCCCGGGGCUCAACCCCGGAACGGCCUCCAAAACUGUUGGUCUAGAGUUCGAGAGAGGUGAGUGGAAUUCCGAGUGUAGAGGUGAAAUUCGUAGAUAUUCGGAGGAACAUCAGUGGCGAAGGCGGCUCACUGGCUCGAUACUGACGCUGAGGUACGAAAGUGUGGGGAGCAAACAGGAUUAGAUACCCUGGUAGUCCACACCGUAAACGAUGAAUGCCAGUCGUCGGGCAGUAUACUGUUCGGUGACACACCUAACGGAUUAAGCAUUCCGCCUGGGGAGUACGGUCGCAAGAUUAAAACUCAAAGGAAUUGACGGGGGCCCGCGCAAGCGGUGGAGCAUGUGGUUUAAUUCGAAGCAACGCGCAGAACCUUACCAACCCUUGACAUAGAUAUCGUAGUUACCAGAGAUGGUUUCGUCAGUUCGGCUGGAUAUCAUACAGGUGCUGCAUGGCUGUCGUCAGCUCGUGUCGUGAGAUGUUCGGUUAAGUCCAGCAACGAGCGCAACCCACAUCCCUAGUUGCCAGCAGGUUAAGCUGGGCACUCUAUGGAAACUGCCCGUGAUAAGCGGGAGGAAGGUGUGGAUGACGUCAAGUCCUCAUGGCCCUUACGGGUUGGGCUACACACGUGCUACAAUGGUAGUGACAAUGGGUUAAUCCCCAAAAGCUAUCUCAGUUCGGAUUGGGGUCUGCAACUCGACCCCAUGAAGUCGGAAUCGCUAGUAAUCGCGUAACAGCAUGACGCGGUGAAUACGUUCCCGGGCCUUGUACACACCGCCCGUCACACCAUGGGAGUUGGGUCCACCCGAAGGCCGUGCGCCAACCUGUUUACAGGAGGCAGCGGACCACGGUGAGCUCAGCGACUGGGGUGAAGUCGUAACAAGGUAGCCGUA